rnacentral:rRNA from 1 species
CCUACGGGUGGCAGCAGUGAGGAAUAUUGGUCAAUGGUCGUAAGACUGAACCAGCCAAGUAGCGUGCAGGAUGACGGCCCUAUGGGUUGUAAACUGCUUUUAUGCGGGGAUAAAAUGCGUCACGUGUGAUGUUUUGUAGGUACCGCAUGAAUAAGGACCGGCUAAUUCCGUGCCAGCAGCCGCGGUAAUACGGAAGGUCCGGGCGUUAUCCGGAUUUAUUGGGUUUAAAGGGAGGGCAGGCCGCCCCUUAAGCGUGUUGUGAAAUGCCGCGGCUCAACCGUGGGACUGCAGCGCGAACUGGGGGACUUGAGAGGGCCGGAGGUACGCGGAAUGCGCGGUGUAGCGGUGAAAUGCUUAGAUAUCACGAAGAACUCCGAUUGCGAAGGUAGCGUACCGGCGCGGGACUGACGCUGAGGCUCGAAAGUGCGGGUAUCGAACAGGAUUAGAUACCCGGGUAGUC